GUAAGAUUUUUUUUUUUCCCUUUUGCAAAAUAAUUAUUUGUUUUCCCCUUUACUUUGUGUAGGUUGGUAGAAAUAAACUUCUUUUUCUUCGCAUUACAUGCAAUUUUCCCUCUGCUAAGUUAUUUGUAAGGUCUAAGUUGCAUUGAAAUGAUAUCUAUAUGAUGCAAGAUAAGGUCAUGAAGCCCCAUUAUACUUGCUUUACCCCUUGACCAUCAACAGAAUUCUAAGAAGAGAAAUGGUUAUGCAAGUGUUGUUUUCAUCAUAAUAAAAAAUAUAUAUAAUAUCCAUUAAAAUAUCUAAAAAUAAUAUGAAAAUAAAAUUCAGUCAAAUUCAUUGUAAAAUUAACAAACAUAAUUAUUAUUUGUCAUCAAGAGAAUUUCUCUCUUUAUUAUUGUGAGUUAUUUCAAUAUAAUCAUCAACAAAUAAAAUAUAUUUAAAAUUUGAUUUAUUAAUGGUGGGAUCAAUAAUUGCAUAGUUAAAAAGAAUCGCCUGCAACAUUGCACAUCUUGUUUUCACCUUUCAUAUAUUUUGAAGUCUACAUAAAUAUAACUCUAAUACAAUUCUCUUAUAUUAAAUUCAUUUCAAAAUUUCAAUAAUACAUUUUCUACUUUAUUAAUAAAUAAAAACUUAUUUAUUAUGAAAAGAACUGUAAAGUGUCAGGUGUGUGUCCUGACACAGAUAAAAGUGGGUUGGACAUUUUUCUUUUUUGUUAGAUGCAGUUUGAUGUGUUCGAUAUGUGUCCAACAAGUGUCAAGCAAAUGCACGUGUUGGGUAAGUAUAUGACACUGCAUACCCUUUACGGAGAUAGUAUUGGUGCAUCAUAAAUUCUUGCUCAUAUCACCAGCAAACAAGUGCUCGUGAAAUAUUCAAGAAUUUCAGUUGCUGCUCUGAAUGUAUUUGCUUCCUUGUGGCGAGGAAUAUCGGGUUUCCAUCUCAAGAGAAAACUUUUCACAUCCAUAAUGCUGAAUGGAAUUUAAGAAAAUAAUUUUAAAUGUAACAGGAAAUUAGAAUGAUAGUUUGAAGUUGCGACUUGAGAUGCCAAAAGCAAGUACUAUUAGAAAUCUUUUGGCACAAAUUCACAUAUUGGUUCUAAUCGGUUAUUGUCUUGGCAGGUUGAUUAUUUUAUUGAUUGUCAU
rnacentral:misc_RNA from 1 species